AGACCCGAAACCCGGUGAUCUAGCCAUGGGCAGGUUGAAGGUUGGGUAACACUAACUGGAGGACCGAACCGACUAAUGUUGAAAAAUUAGCGGAUGACCUGUGGCUGGGGGUGAAAGGCCAAUCAAACCGGGAGAUAGCUGGUUCUCCCCGAAAGCUAUUUAGGUAGCGCCUCGUGAAUUCAUCUCCGGGGGUAGAGCACUGUUUCGGCUAGGGGGCCAUCCCGGCUUACCAACCCGAUGCAAACUGCGAAUACCGGAGAAUGUUAUCACGGGAGACACACGGCGGGUGCUAACGUCCGUCGUGAAGAGGGAAACAACCCAGACCGCCAGCUAAGGUCCCAAAGUCAUGGUUAAGUGGGAAACGAUGUGGGAAGGCCCAGACAGCCAGGAUGUUGGCUUAGAAGCAGCCAUCAUUUAAAGAAAGCGUAAUAGCUCACUGGUCGAGUCGGCCUGCGCGGAAGAUGUAACGGGGCUAAACCAUGCACCGAAGCUGCGGCAGCGAACGUAUCACCCAAGACAACUUUACGGAGUUGACGAUUGACGGAGCGAAGCGACGUCAAAGCGUUCAUUAAAGUCGAG
rnacentral:rRNA from 3 species